AGCUUUGCGCAGUGGCAGUAUCGUAGCCAAUGAGGUUUAUCCGAGGCACGAUUAUUGCUAAUUGAAAAAAGAAGAGUGAAUAGUAGCUACAGCAAGAGGAUUUCAGAAAUGUUUUUUGUUGUUCUUGUUUUUUUACA